CCUGGCUCAGGAUGAACGCUAGCUACAGGCUUAACACAUGCAAGUCGAGGGGCAGCAUGGUCUUAGCUUGCUAAGGCCGAUGGCGACCGGCGCACGGGUGAGUAACACGUAUCCAACCUGCCGUCUACUCUUGGACAGCCUUCUGAAAGGAAGAUUAAUACAAGAUGGCAUCAUGAGUCCGCAUGUUCACAUGAUUAAAGGUAUUCCGGUAGACGAUGGGGAUGCGUUCCAUUAGAUAGUAGGCGGGGUAACGGCCCACCUAGUCUUCGAUGGAUAGGGGUUCUGAGAGGAAGGUCCCCCACAUUGGAACUGAGGCACGGUCCAAACUCCUACGGGAGGCAGCAGUGAGGAAUAUUGGUCAAUGGGCGAGAGCCUGAACCAGCCAAGUAGCGUGAAGGAUGACUGCCCUAUGGGUUGUAAACUUCUUUUAUAAAGGAAUAAAGUCGGGUAUGGAUACCCGUUUGCAUGUACUUUAUGAAUAAGGAUCGGCUAACUCCGUGCCAGCAGCCGCGGUAAUACGGAGGAUCCGAGCGUUAUCCGGAUUUAUUGGGUUUAAAGGGAGCGUAGAUGGAUGUUUAAGUCAGUUGUGAAAGUUUGCGGCUCAACCGUAAAAUUGCAGUUGAUACUGGAUAUCUUGAGUGCAGUUGAGGCAGGCGGAAUUCGUGGUGUAGCGGUGAAAUGCUUAGAUAUCACGAAGAACUCCGAUUGCGAAGGCAGCCUGCUAAGCUGCAACUGACAUUGAGGCUCGAAAGUGUGGGUAUCAAACAGGAUUAGAUACCCUGGUAGUCCACACGGUAAACGAUGAAUACUCGCUGUUUGCGAUAUACUGCAAGCGGCCAAGCGAAAGCGUUAAGUAUUCCACCUGGGGAGUACGCCGGCAACGGUGAAACUCAAAGGAAUUGACGGGGGCCCGCACAAGCGGAGGAACAUGUGGUUUAAUUCGAUGAUACGCGAGGAACCUUACCCGGGCUUAAAUUGCAGAUGAAUUACGGUGAAAGCCGUAAGCCGCAAGGCAUCUGUGAAGGUGCUGCAUGGUUGUCGUCAGCUCGUGCCGUGAGGUGUCGGCUUAAGUGCCAUAACGAGCGCAACCCUUGUUGUCAGUUACUAACAGGUUCCGCUGAGGACUCUGACAAGACUGCCAUCGUAAGAUGUGAGGAAGGUGGGGAUGACGUCAAAUCAGCACGGCCCUUACGUCCGGGGCUACACACGUGUUACAAUGGGGGGUACAGAGGGCCGCUACCACGCGAGUGGAUGCCAAUCCCCAAAACCUCUCUCAGUUCGGACUGGAGUCUGCAACCCGACUCCACGAAGCUGGAUUCGCUAGUAAUCGCGCAUCAGCCACGGCGCGGUGAAUACGUUCCCGGGCCUUGUACACACCGCC
rnacentral:rRNA from 1 species